rfam:Agarivorans albus MKT 106 DNA, contig: contig00047.
AAAUAUUCAACACCCGAUUUUUGUUUGGUUUCUUUUUUACUCCACCCUUUUAGGGAGGCGGACGGAAUUGGUGUAAAAACGAAAACACACAGAAUCCAUAAAGCCUCCUUCUUAGGAGGCUUUUUUGUU